rnacentral:rRNA from 1 species
GAGUUUGAUCCUGGCUCAGAUUGAACGCUGGCGGCAGGCCUAACACAUGCAAGUCGAACGGUAACAGGAAGAAGCUUGCUUCUUUGCUGACGAGUGGCGGACGGGUGAGUAAUGUCUGGGAAACUGCCUGAUGGAGGGGGAUAACUACUGGAAACGGUAGCUAAUACCGCAUAACGUCGCAAGACCAAAGAGGGGGACCUUCGGGCCUCUUGCCAUCGGAUGUGCCCAGAUGGGAUUAGCUAGUAGGUGGGGUAACGGCUCACCUAGGCGACGAUCCCUAGCUGGUCUGAGAGGAUGACCAGCCACACUGGAACUGAGACACGGUCCAGACUCCUACGGGGGGCAGCAGUGGGGAAUAUUGCACAAUGGGCGCAAGCCUGAUGCAGCCAUGCCGCGUGUAUGAAGAAGGCCUUCGGGUUGUAAAGUACUUUCAGCGGGGAGGAAGGGAGUAAAGUUAAUACCUUUGCUCAUUGACGUUACCCGCAGAAGAAGCACCGGC